GACGAACGCUGGCGGCGUGCUUAACACAUGCAAGUCGAACGGAAAGGCCCCUUUGGGGGUACUCGAGUGGCGAACGGGUGAGUAACACGUGAGUAACCUGCCCUUGACUUCGGGAUAACUUCAUGAAACUGGGGCUAAUACCGGAUAGGAAUCCUUGCUGCCUGGUGGGGGUUGGAAAGCUUCGGCGGUUUUGGAUGGACUCGCGGCUUAUCAGCUUGGUGGUGGGGUAGUGGGUUACCAAGGCUUUGACGGGUAGCCGGCCUGGGAGGGCGACCGGCCACAUUGGGACCGGGAAACGGCCCAGACUCCCACGGGAGGCAGGAGUGGGGAAUAUUGCACAAUGGGCGGGAGCCUGAUGCAGCAACGCCGCGGGCGGGAUGACGGCCUUCGGGUUGUAAACCGCUUUCAGCAGGGGCGAAGCUUGUGGUGACGGUACCUGCAGAAGAAGCACCGGCUAACUACGUG
rnacentral:rRNA from 1 species